AUGGCCGCCGCCGCCGCGGGGCCCCGCCGGUGGCGCCGCGAGGAGGAGGAGCAGCAGCCGCACCGCCUCUCGGCCGCCGCGGCGGCCGACGACCGCUUCGACGGCCUCCCCGACCCGCUGCUCCUCCUCAUCUUCAACCGCAUCGGCGACGUCAAGGCGCUCGGCCGCUGCGCGCUCGUCUCCCGCCGCUUCCACGCCCUCGUGCCCCUCGUCGACUCCGUGCUCGUCCGCGUCGACUGCGUCAUCCCCGACGACCCCGCCUCCUCCUCCCCGUCCUCCUCCGCGCCCUCCUCCCCCACCGCCUCCGCCUCCGCCCGCGCGCGCGGCGUCUUCUCCCAGAUCGCGCGCAUGCUCAUCGGCGGCAUCGUCAAGCCCAUCCAGGCGCUCGGCCAGAUCCUCUCCCACGCCGGCCCCGCCGCCGACUUCCCCGCCUCCGCCUCCCUCUCCUCCUUCCGCCGCUCCGCCGCCUCCUCGCUCUCCUCCUCCUCGGCGUCGGCGCCCCCCGGCGACGUCUCGCACCACUCGCCCUCCGAGGUGCUCCGCUCCUUCAGGGAGCUCCGCAGCCUGCGCAUCGAGCUCCCCGCCGGCGAGCUCGGCAUGGACGACGGCGUGCUGCUCAAGUGGAAGGCCGACUUCGGCUCCACGCUCGGCAGCUGCGUCAUCCUCGGCGCCGCCUCCGCCUCCGCCUCGCCGUCCUCUGCCGCCAAGGACGGCGCCACGGCCGCGCCUCCUCCUCCAACUGCUGAUUGCGCCGAGUCUGACGAUUCAGGGAGCAUACCGGAGUCCUUCUACACCAACGGGGGGCUUAAGCUGCGGGUGCUGUGGACCAUCAGCUCGUUGAUUGCCGCGUCGGCCCGGCAUUACCUGCUGCAGCCCAUCAUUUCCGACCACGCGUUGCUGGAGAGCCUGGAUCUGACGGACGCCGAUGGGCAGGGCGUGCUCACCAUGGACAAGUGGCAACUGCAGGAGCUACGGGUCAGGCCAGUAUCAGCGUCUGGUGACUCACACCGCACGCUCAUGCCGGCCCUUAGCAUGCGCUUGUGGUAUGCGCCACACAUUGAGCUGCCUGGGGGCACGGUCUUGAAUGGAGCAACACUGGUGGCCAUCAAGCCGAGCGAAGAGGCAAUGAUGGACGCAGUUGGGAAUGCAACUGCUGGCUCGGCAGGUGGAUCCUGGGUUUCAGAUGCCUUUGAGGAGCCAUAUCGGACGGCCGUCGGUGUGCUCCUCAAGCGGAGGAUGUAUAGCCUUGAGAUGAACUCAUUCUAA
rnacentral:rRNA from 1 species